rnacentral:misc_RNA from 1 species
GGUUGGAUCCCUGCCUCGUGCAGCGACGUCCUAAUUUGCUAUCCUCUUCAUUGCUGUUACAACUUUUGUUGUACGUCUCUUGGUUUCCUGUGUUGUGUACCUACUCGAUGGAAUUCGGUUGGCAAUCUCUUGUAGUUCGCCUUAGGCUGCCUCGUUGCGGUCGAGGGUGAAACUCGAAACGAGAUUCUUGUCCCCCGUGCUGCACGCUUCGUGUCGGUUCCGUGGUCCAUGAAUUCUCGCUCGGGCGCUGGGAUGCAGUAAACGAUGAGGGCACGGAGUCAACGGCUCCAAUCUGUCCGCAAAGGCUUGAUGGCCUAUUUCGAACGACUCUCGGUCCCGUUUCGGUUUAGUACCGUGCGGGCCGAUGUUCGUGAGGAAUGCUAC